rnacentral:rRNA from 1 species
ACAAACGCUGGCGGCGUGCAUAACACAUGCAAGUUGAACGGGACUUUUGCUUCGGUAAAAGUCAAGUAGCAAACGGGUGAGUAACGCGUAGGCAACCUGCCUUCAAGAUGGGGACAACAUACCGAAAGGUGUGCUAAUACCGAAUGUUGUAAAAGCUUCACAUGAAGCAUUUACCAAAGUAUGCGUAAGCAUACACUUGGAGAUGGGCCUGCGUCUGAUUAGCUAGUUGGGAGGGUAACGGCCUACCAAGGCGACGAUCAGUAGCCGGUCUGCGAGGAGGAACGGCCACAUUGGGACUGAGUGACGGCCCAGACUCCUACGGGAGGCAGCAGUGGGGAAUCUUCCGCAAUGGGCGAAAGCCUGACGGAGCAACGCCGCGUGAACGAGGAAGGUCUUAGGAUCGUAAAGUUCUGUUUUAGGGGACGAACGGCAUUAUAUCCAAUAGGUAUAGUGAGUGACGGUACCCUGAUAGAAAGCCACGGCUAACUACGUGC